GGGGAAUAUUGCACAAUGGAGGAAACUCUGACGCAGCGAUGCCGCGUGAGGGAAGAAGGUUUUAGGAUUGUAAACCUCUGUCUUCAGGGACGAAAAAAGGACGGUACCUGAGGAGGAAGCUCCGGCUAACUACGUGCCAGCAGCCGCGGUAAUACGUAGGGAGCGAGCGUUGUCCGGAAUUACUGGGUGUAAAGGGAGCGUAGGCGGGAUCGCAAGUCAGAUGUGAAAACUAUGGGCUUAACCCAUAAACUGCAUUUGAAACUGUGGUUCUUGAGUGAAGUAGAGGUAAGCGGAAUUCCUAGUGUAGCGGUGAAAUGCGUAGAUAUUAGGAGGAACAUCAGUGGCGAAGGCGGCUUACUGGGCUUUAACUGACGCUGAGGCUCGAAGGCGUGGGGAGCAAACAGGAUUAGAUACCCUGGUAGUCCACGCCGUAAACGAUGAUUACUAGGUGUGGGGGGACUGACCCCUUCCGUGCCGCAGCAAACGCAAUAAGUAAUCCACCUGGGGAGUACGACCGCAAGGUUGAAACUCAAAGGAAUUGACGGGGGCCCGCACAAGCAGUGGAGUAUGUGGAUUAAUUCGAAGCAACGCGAAGAACCUUACCAGGUCUUGACAUCGUAUGCAUAGCUCAGAGAUGAGUGAAAUCUCUUCGGAGACAUAUAGACAGGUGGUGCAUGGUUGUCGUCAGCUCGUGUCGUGAGAUGUUGGGUUAAGUCCCGCAACGAGCGCAACCCUUACUGUUAGUUGCUACGCAAGAGCACUCUAGCAGGACUGCCGUUGACAAAACGGAGGAAGGUGGGGAUGACGUCAAAUCAUCAUGCCCCUUAUGACCUGGGCCUCACACGUACUACAAUGGCUGUAAACAGAGGGAAGCAAAGCCGCGAGGUAGAGCGAACCCCUAAAAGCAGUCUUAGUUCGGAUUGUAGGCUGCAACCCGCCUACAUGAAGUCGGAAUUGCUAGUAAUCGCAGAUCAGCAUGCUGCGGUGAAUACGUUCCCG
rnacentral:rRNA from 1 species